AUCCAGCUGACGAGUCCCACAUAGAACGAAAUGCUCAUCCUAGAU
rfam:Trichobilharzia regenti genome assembly, scaffold: TRE_scaffold0003702